rnacentral:misc_RNA from 1 species
AACAGCAUUUCCAUCAUGGCGGCAAAAUUUGUUUUUCCUUCGUAUACCAAAAUCGUCUUGACACCUCGACAGUUUUCGAAAAACGUGCCGUUUAUUACAAAGAAGUUAUUUCUUGAUUCAAGAAGAAACAGAUCUACAUCAAAUUUUUCGUAUCCUCUUUCAGAAACUUUAGAGAAAGUCAAGGAAUCACUGGCCGCGAUUGCCAAUGACAAACUCCCGAGGAAAACCACUAGGGUGUUUGUAGGAACAGGGCAAUACUACGAUCAUGAGACCAACGAAAGAAUAGUUGUAAUAUCUCUUGGAGGAAAUGGAAACUUAGAGCUACCGAUUGUCCUUCACGAUACCUCCCUUCCUCGCGGUGAAGUUGAUAAACUGGAGAAGGAACUGAACUCUUUGUCAGAGGUGGGUUCCGUUCAUUCUGGCGAGUUAGACAGCGUGCAAGACUCUCCCUGGAAAUUUGGAUUUACUUGUAAACCUUCGUUUUCUAUCUUCUCGACCUCUGGAUUUUGCUGUCAAUUUCAACAUUCAAGGGUAGAAGGAGAGUGCUUUAGAAUCUUUGAUGAACAUAUGCAUUUGCAUGAAGAUGUACCUCUUUCAGAGAUAGAGCAUAUCCAAGUUUCGCUGUCUCCAGAGCCAUGGGAGGAGAGGAAACUGCAACUCAAAAUGAAGAAUGGAGAUUUAAUUAGUGUUCUGGAAGACUGUGAAGAGAACAUCUCCAAUGAAAAUGGUUUGGCUUCCCUGAUGCUAACCACUGAAUGGAUGGUGAAGGCUGCUGGACAUAUGUGUGUAACAGCCAGACAGUUUGGAGCCACCACAGUUUCUCUCAAACUUCCUUCUGUACUUAGAGCUGAUGUCAAUCCAUGGGUGGCAAUGAGAAACAAGAUCUGGGCAAAGAAAAACAGUGAGAGUUGAGAACAGGAGGAAUAGGCUCCAUUGACAAACACAGGGCACAAACUGUAAUAUCCAAGACAAAAAAUACAUGAAGAUAUCACCAUCAAAGGAAGCUGUGUGAUCUAUACCAAAAGUUUUCUAACUGGAGAUGCUGAAUCCAUCGGCUCCACGAAAUCUUUCCAUACUGAACAAAGGCAUUAUAUUAUCUGAGAGACGGUACAUCAACAGAGGAUACAGGAUAGGCAGGAGGUUGUUUUGGUGUCUAGUAUGCUUGUCCCUUUCGUACUGGAGAAAUUGCUUUGAAAUUAGAUACUAGUAUCUGUCUCCCUGGUUUAGCGGUCAUAUUUCUGGGUCUCUGGAAAGAGAAGUGUGGCAAAGAGAAACCGUCUUCUUUUUAUCAAUGGACAUAAAGAAGAGUACAAAUUCAGAGAAAGUUAUAUCCCUCAAGUUCCUUUUAAAGGCGCAGUGUUACAUACAGACGUUCUUCCUUUAACGAUAUUUGUAACAAUGGAGUACAUUUCCGAUCCCUUAGAGUUCAUUUUGAGUUGACGGAACUCACGGUUUUUUUCUCGGACUUCAGCUGAUUCCAGUCAUUUAGCUCGUCAAAUAGAAGGCGUAUUUCGAGAUUUCCGCUCUGGUUAGUGAGCUAUCACCGGUUACCACAUAUCGAUGACUUGAUUGAUAUGGGAGAUUUCCGAUAGGGUUAGAGGGUAGCUCGUCGUCUAAGGACGUACACGAUUUUCAUCGUAAACUAUCGUAUGUUUUCUUGGCAAAAUUCUCUCUCAAUCCAUCGAAAAAGCUCACAAGAGAUCGUGUAAUAAAAGGACUUUCUGAAUAUACUACGUUCAGCCUCAAGGUCAAUUGAUACAUGGUGUAAGAUUGUUAGAUGACAAUCCAUAUUAAUUACUCGCAUUUUGAUUUCACAGCAGGAACCCAUUGUGCUUCUUGGAGGGUCAAUUGCGCAGUUUUAUGCUAGAAAAAACUUGUUUCUUCGGCAGACUUUGGGCGCCGAACUCUAAGUGUAGUUUGAGCUGCGACGUAUAUAGUUACAUGGGAAUUCUUUUGCGAUUAAAUGAAAUCGUUACAUAAUUCACAGUCGUUUCUGAGGUCCCCUUGGAGUUCAUAUUGCAAAGGGAUUUAGGCAAAGUUACAAAUCCUUUUGAUUAGUUUAGAUUUCUUAGGCUAAGAGAUACCAAUGAUUUGUUAAAAUGAGUGCCAGUCUUUUGAAACAAGGAUACCAUUUCUCAUACUGGCUAUUAAUAUGAAGUUCCUGCCGUCACAUUUCAAUGUUUUAAAUGGGUAAACAACUGUAAAGAGUUUGGGUGAAAAUUUAAUUCAGAGAAAUCUAAGUUUUGUGCCAAUUUAGGAUGCACAUCUGAACAGAUUUCCCAUAAAAAAUUGUGAACCAGAUGAUUUUUUAAAAAA